rnacentral:lncRNA from 1 species
AUACACAAAAGGGAGCGAGAGAGUUGAGCCGUUAGAACAAGUGUGUUAGAGGCAGGUUUAGAGAGACGAGGGAGGGAGAAAACAAUAAAUACCACAGCUCCUUCCAGCUAGAGUAUUAGGCACCACGAGAAAAAUAUUUGCCAAGCAGUUUUCGGUGGGUUCAUUUGUUUUCUUUUUAUUUGGGACAAUUAUGUUGGGGCGGGGGGGGGGUCCUUUGGGGAUGGUGGCUUGGGAUGCUCCUGUUGUAUUUUAAUGAUUUAGGUGGGGUUUUUUUUCCGCUUCUGAUUUUUGCCUUUUGCAAGUUUGUGGUGUUAUGUAAAUCGUCGGGACUGUCAUUCGUUGGUUUUAUUGUCUCCCUGCGUUCUCGCUUUCUCUCUCUCUCUCUCUCUAUCUCUCUCUCUCUCUAAAGGUGCAAUAUUUCAACCUAAUACCAUUGACAGAAGCUUACAUUUUUGGCCACAUAUGACAGCCCCAACCUCCAACACCACCACCGCUCCCCGCCCGCCCCCCCCGCCCGCCCCCCAGCCGCCCUUGGUACAAUUUCCUUUUCCUCUUGGACUUUUGCUGAAGCUUUCCUGCACUUGAAAGAGAUGUAAAAGGAUUUGGAUUGGUUUGGUUUGUUUCUUUCCAGGACAGCGAGUGGUGGGUUUACUCUGUUACUGUUGACUCUCAGGAAAUUUCUUGAUGCUAGAAAUGUGUGUGUGGGUACGUGUAAUGUUUGCCUGUUACAACAUUCUGUGAAGCCAAAUACAUGUUUGUAUUUUGCUAUUUUCUUAAGGUCUUGAACAUUCCCCCCACCCUUUUUUUUAAACCCCCACUGGGUUCGUUUCAAGGUCGUCGGGAGAAAGGAAAAAAAAUCUCUUCAGUAUGUGUUGAAGGGAUCAGCCUGAGGGAAUUCUAAAGGCCUGGCUGCCAGGAUCACAGAUACUGCGCGUAUUGAGUACAGGCUGUGCUACACUAGGCGCACUGCUCGCAGCCGGGUCCUCUAGGCUUUGGAGCAGAGCUGAGGGGAGGAGAGGAGCGGAAUCUUUCUUUCCCUUCUUUCUUCCUUUAUUUUAAAAGGUGAAUACAGGGCAGACUCCUUUCACGGUGGGCCCUGGGUUAUGUGUUCAUAGCUGCAGUUUCCUUAUUUAAAUGUUGGUCGGGGUUUUUGCCCUCCUACUCAUCCCUGGAUGAGUGAGACUCUUGUUUCUUUUAUGUCUGUCUCUUGCAAGAAGGGUGUGAGCUAAAUAAUAUUCAGAUUCCUUAAGAACUAGAAUGAACUCAAAGUGUUUGGAGCAAAAGACUCUUUCAAAGGUCAGGCUGUUCUGGGCUUUAGCUGUGAAAGUCCUUCAAGUGGCUCGUUAAAUCACAGAGGGGUUUUCAAGCAUUCGCAAAAUAUCUCCACAUAUUAAUUUCUAAUGAAUACUUGUGGACCACAACCCUAAACGUGGGCUUAAAAAUAGAGAUGCAAGCAGAGUUCUGGAAGACUGCUGGCUUGUGGGGUACAGAGGACUGGUCCUAUGAGAAGUUUUUGCUGUGCUGUUGUUGGAGUACCACCACUUCAAAAGAUGAUGUCACAGGUUUUAGAACUGGGGGAGUCGAGGAAGGAGCUGGUUGUUUUCUGUGAGGGUUGGAACUUAGAAAAUCCGUUGUCUGUCCCUGAGAAAUCUGAAUGCUUUAAUACGUAUUGGCAGAUGGAUUACUGCAGUCUCGGUGGAAAAGCCUGUCUUGUGAAGGAUUUUUGAGGAAUACACAUAGGCCUAAUCCUAUCACUGUUGGGAAAAUGAACAUUUUACUUCCAAAGACACGGUGACUUUGUCAAAUUGAUCCACACUGCCCGGAAGCAGGGUGGCUGCUUUGGGUUUUUGUGUCUUAGAGUCCCCUUCCCUCUCAUUUUAGAGUAUUAAGUUAAUCCCACUGGACCAAAAUGACACCCUAAUUUUGCUGAAGUGAAUUUCUUUGUGUAGCUAGCUGUCUGAUUACUACCUUUUCUGAGCAUUAAGUACUUCAAAUUUCUUAGAUGCAAUUUAGCUUUGGAACGCAGGUGUAUGGUUUUGUUGUAUUGUUGUCUUCAUAAAUAGAAUUACUUUUAUGGUGAUUUUGGUUAUUUUUCUUCUCAGAGUGACCUUGUGUCUUAUCCCUUGACUCCCACCACCAAGUCUUCAAAACACACACACACACAAACACACACAGAGUUAGAGAGAGAGGGAGAGAGAGACAGAGAGAGACUGUCGGUCUUGUGUUCCCUUUGCUAUUCCACUUUUAUCCCCAUGGGGGCGCUGCAGAGCAAAGGGAAAUGUGCUCCCUCGGGCGGUAGAGCCAGCCAGAGUGGGGGCUGGGAAGGAAUUUACCCUUCUCAUACCUCAAACCCUUUGAUUCUCUGAAAAGUUUCUCAGAGCAACAGCUCACCAGCCCUGCUUUAUUAACCCAGCACUAGGACCUCUUAUCCUUCCUGGGACCAUGUGCCAGAGUUUGUGUUACUGUGGUGGGAUUUUUGUUGUUGUGUUUUGAUUUUUUCCCCCUUCUCUCUCUCUCUUCCCACCCCACCCCCCAAGUCAAAGUGUGUAUGUUGGAAGAAAAUAACCAAAACGGAAGGAGGCACCUGCUUUUAGAUGAGCCUCUUUUCUCUCAACUGAAUGGAUGUUGAAGAAAAUUAUGCGCUCACCUUUCAGUUUCUUCGGUUCCAGAGAAAGUGACUUAAUAGAGUUUUAUACCAAUGCAAUCUCUUCCUGCAUGUCCUUUCUUCUCUCUUUAUGGGUCUUACCUCAUCACUUCUAGCUAUGUAAGGCCCUUGAAUUCUACAGUGCUAUUAUUAUUGGGAUAAAGAAAUGACCGGAAUAUAUUCAGAGUCCUUUAAAUCAUCCUUAAGGAGCCCACAGGAGUGAUCCCAUGCCCUGGGGUUUUAUGAAUUAUUUCUGCAGACUUGAGAAAAACGUGGAUCAGCUAAUGCCAUGAGUUAAUGAUUCCUGGUUGCUAAUACUCAGGAUCGGGGACUCGGCCAACUUCCUUGCCCCGUGGACUGAGCUUAGGAAAGAUCCUUGAUCACGGCUGCUGGGUAAAUAUAAGCUCUAUUACAAAAUAAAAUAACUCGGUACUAAUAUUACAUUGUUGAAGGGAUGGAACACAAUUCACACCCAAGACCGUUCCCACAAUUCAGCACUGUAGAUUCUAGAACGAGGAGCCUUACUGAUUGAUAAUCACCCCUCCAGGCUCUGUCUUCGCAAAGACUAGACUGUCCCUCGUGAGCCAACCUAGAGUCACAGCUCAAAACGAAUCCAUGUGAUUUGAUGCCCGUGGUCAAUUCUGAAGAUCGGGCUGACCUGACAAUCUGGCCUUCAGGGGUGUGUAUCCUGUGCUUGCAGAAUGGAGGACAGCAAGGCUGCAUGAGGCCCUGUGU